rnacentral:rRNA from 1 species
AUUGAACGCUGGCGGCAUGCUUUACACAUGCAAGUCGAACGGUAACAGGCCUUCGGGUGCUGACGAGUGGCGAACGGGUGAGUAAUGCAUCGGAACGUGCCCAAUCGUGGGGGAUAACGUAGCGAAAGUUACGCUAAUACCGCAUAAGCCCUGAGGGGGAAAGUGGGGGACCGCAAGGCCUCACGCGAAUGGAGCGGCCGAUGUCAGAUUAGCUAGUUGGUGGGGUAAAGCCCACCAAGGCGACGAUCUGUAGCGGGUCUGAGAGGAUGAUCCGCCACACUGGGACUGAGACACGGCCCAGACUCCUACGGGAGGCAGCAGUGGGGAAUUUUGGACAAUGGGCGCAAGCCUGAUCCAGCCAUGCCGCGUGCGGGACGAAGGCC